ACGGGAGAGUAACACGUGGGAACGUGCCCUUUGGUCUGGAAUAACUCAGGGAAACUUGAGCUAAUACCGGAUAAGCCCUUACGGGGAAAGAUUUAUCGCCAUUGGAGCGGCCCGCGUCUGAUUAGCUAGUUGGUGAGGUAACGGCUCACCAAGGCGACGAACAGUAGCUGGUCUGAGAGGAUGACCAGCCUCAUUGGGACUGAGACACGGCCCAAACUCCUACGGGAGGCAGCAGUGGGGAAUAUUGGACAAUGGGCGCAAGCCUGAUCCAGCCAUGCCGCGUGAGUGAUGAAGGCCUUAGGGUUGUAAAGCUCUUUUAGCAGGGAAGAUAAUGACGGUACCUGCAGAAAAAGCCCCGGCUAACUUCGUGCCAGCAGCCGCGGUAAUACGAAGGGGGCUAGCGUUGCUCGGAAUUACUGGGCGUAAAGCGCACGUAGGCGGACUCUUAAGUCGGUGGUGAAAUCCUGGAGCUCAACUCCAGAACUGCCUUCGAUACUGGGAGUCUUGAGUUCGGGAGAGGUGAGUGGAACUGCGAGU
rnacentral:rRNA from 1 species